GGGUCGAUGCCCGAGCGGUUAAUGGGGACGGACUGUAAAUUCGUUGGCGAUAUGCCUACGCUGGUUCAAAUCCAGCUCGGCCCA
rnacentral:tRNA from 10 species